rnacentral:pre_miRNA from 1 species
UGUUAAAAAUUUUAUUUAUUUUUACUGUUAAAAACUGUUAUGAUUGAUGGAAUAACGAGACAAAUACGCGUAACCUGCCAUAAAAAUAUAUUUUAAUUAUAAAAAUGAAUGAAAUUUUUAACA